GCGUGAGUGAUGAAGGUUUUCGGAUCGUAAAACUCUGUUGUCAGGGAAGAACAAGUGCCGGAGUAACUGCCGGCACCUUGACGGUACCUGACCAGAAAGCCACGGCUAACUACGUGCCAGCAGCCGCGGUAAUACGUAGGUGGCAAGCGUUGUCCGGAAUUAUUGG
rnacentral:rRNA from 1 species